rnacentral:rRNA from 1 species
GCACCAGUGGGGAAUAUUGUCUGCAAUGGGCGCAAGCCUGAUGCAGCGACGCCGCGUGAGGGAUGACGGCCUUCGGGUUGUAAACCUCUUUCAGUAGGGAAGAAGCGAAAGUGACGGUACCUGCAGAAGAAGCGCCGGCUAACUACGUGCCAGCAGCCGCGGUAAUACGUAGGGCGCAAGCGUUAUCCGGAAUUAUUGGGCGUAAAGAGCUCGUAGGCGGUUUGUCGCGUCUGCCGUGAAAGUCCGGGGCUCAACUCCGGAUCUGCGGUGGGUACGGGCAGACUAGAGUGAUGUAGGGGAGACUGGAAUUCCUGGUGUAGCGGUGAAAUGCGCAGAUAUCAGGAGGAACACCGAUGGCGAAGGCAGGUCUCUGGGCAUUAACUGACGCUGAGGAGCGAAAGCAUGGGGAGCGAACAGGAUUAGAUACCCUGGUAGUCCAUGCCGUAAACGUUGGGCACUAGGUGUGGGGGACAUUCCACGUUUUCCGCGCCGUAGCUAACGCAUUAAGUGCCCCGCCUGGGGAGUACGGCCGCAAGGCUAAAACUCAAAGGAAUUGACGGGGGCCCGCACAAGCGGCGGAGCAUGCGGAUUAAUUCGAUGCAACGCGAAGAACCUUACCAAGGCUUGACAUGGACCGGACCGGGCUGGAAACAGUCCUUCCCCUUUGGGGCUGGUUCACAGGUGGUGCAUGGUUGUCGUCAGCUCGUGUCGUGAGAUGUUGGGUUAAGUCCCGCAACGAGCGCAACCCUCGUUCUAUGUUGCCAGCACGUGAUGGUGGGGACUCAUAGGAGACUGCCGGGGUCAACUCGGAGGAAGGUGGGGACGACGUCAAAUCAUCAUGCCCCUUAUGUCUUGGGCUUCACGCAUGCUACAAUGGCCGGUACAAAGGGUUGCGAUACUGUGAGGUGGAGCUAAUCCCAAAAAGCCGGUCUCAGUUCGGAUUGGGGUCUGCAACUCGACCCCAUGAAGUCGGAGUCGCUAGUAAUCGCAGAUCAGCAACGCUGCGGUGAAUACGUUCCCGGGCCUUGUACACACCGCCCGUCAAGUCACGAAAGUUGGUAACACCCGAAGCCGGUGGCCUAACCCC